CAGCACCAUGUUUAACUGUUGGUACAUAAUUUUUAUUGGACUCAGCAUAUACCAUGAGACUGAUGCAGAAAAGUUAACUCGUCAAUGUACGGCCUCACAGGGAAGAUGCGCCAAAACAAAAAAUUCCAAUUGUGAAAGUAGUUUUGGUUCUGGAUGGACAGCGAAAGGCAUCUGUUGUCGGAGGAAACCGUGUUGCGUGUUUCAGUGUGAAAUAAUUCAAUCCGAGACGAUUCCAAAUGGGACGGUAACUGUAAAGGAAAGAAAUGUUGGCUCUACGGCUUACUUUUCCUGUAACGAAG